rnacentral:rRNA from 1 species
ACAGAGGGUGCAAGCGUUAAUCGGAAUUACUGGGCGUAAAGCGCGCGUAGGCGGUUGUGUAAGUUGGAUGUGAAAUCCCCGGGCUUAACCUGGGCACUGCAUUCAAAACUGCACGGCUAGAGUAUGGGAGAGGAAGGUAGAAUUCCAGGUGUAGCGGUGAAAUGCGUAGAUAUCGGGAGGAACAUCAGUGGCGAAGGCGGCUACCUGGCCCAAUACUGACACUCAGGUGCGACAGCGUGGGGAGCAAACAGGA